UUCCACAGGCUCUCGGGGGCACUGGCACCAUGGAGAUGAGGUUUGGAACCACCUGGGUGCCACUACUUUUAGGGCAGAAACAUAUGCAAACAGCAUGCUGCCCGGACUGACUGUCCUCGGAGGCUGGGUUGCCUUCCCGCUCUGAAUUUCUUUCAUCCUGGUUGCCUCCGCUGUCCUGUAAGAACUGUGCCUUUCAGCCACGUGUGAGGAGGCCUCACCACUGGUGGACACUAGCAUUUGACUUUCCCCGUGAUACGCUACAGCGUAUUUGCCUCUCGGGCCCGCGGUGGGUCCUGUUUAAAGCAAUCCUAAAGAAACGUACUCCAGAGAAGGUUCGUAUUAGAAUCACAGCAUCACUUAAGCAAACCCAGUGAAGACAAUACCAGCGGUGGCUCACAUCAGCCCCUGAGGUGGAGUUCACUGUACCGGUCAGUGGCUGACCUUGGAAAGGGUCAAAGGCCAUGAAAUCAGCAUCUCCGAGGUAAAGUCAGGACAGCAUUACUUUGAGUUAAGUCAUUCACUUGAGGACUCGGUUACUGAACUGAAGGCAAGAGCAGGUAUCUGCAGGCAGAAGGAGAUUCCAAGACCAUCUGCCCUGGCUGAGUCAUGCAGUGAGAGGUUUCACCCCUGCGCUGAACACCUGGACAGGCAGACUUUCCGCUUUGUGCCCCCAAAACUCUCGCUAACUCCAUUCCCCUAGAAAUAGUGAGCACAGCACCACAUUAAAUUCCUCGGUCAGCCGAACGGUCUGACAUGAAAUUUGGGGGUUGAAUUAUUUUGUCUCCAAGGGAAAAAAAUAGGUCAUUUGCUCUUCCUCUCCAUGACACUCUUGUUCCUUCACUGGGUACUUCGGCCAAGUCCGACGGAAGGAGUUCAGUGUAGCUUGUGCUGUAGGCGGAGGAGAUGUGAGGUCCGGGGUCUCCACGAGGGCUCUCAGAAUAGCUUUUCCCUCAAACAGUUAAAAACACAAAUCCCACCACUUUAAUGCAACUAUUCUACCUGUGUUCUCUCCUCUAACCUUUGGUAUGUAUCUAUGUUAAUGAAAGUUAAAGCGUGGUUUUUCCUUUUGUUCUGUUUGUCCACUGGUUGCAUAGGCUGCCUCUUCAAUGACUGGAUAAUAGUCGGAAACAGGAACAGCCCACCGUGGUCGGCCGCAAGAGGGCCCAAGUUCUUCGCCUCCCCCAGUCUCCGGGUCCUUUGCAGUGCCAGGCUGUGGCUCCUCCCAUCAGGGGGUGAAGUUUCAUUUCUCACUCUCAGAGUCCGGGCUGAUCUUGUAACCGGCUUUGGACGAGAGAAUGUAGCAGAGGGGAUCACGUGCAGCUUCUAAGCUGUUGCCUCAAGACGACUUGCGUGCUUCUGCCUGUCUUCUUGGAACUCUGCGGUAGACCUCCAUCAUGAGAAAAAUCCUAAACUAGCCUGUUAGAGACCGAGAAAGCAUGUGCAGGGGGGAGGAGGGGGUGCGGACCAGUCAACCCAACCAUCACAGCUAACCUUUCACGGACCAAUCCACUCCGGGUUGACCAGUCAGCUGAGCGCAGUUGCAAGGAGGAGUCCGGCUGAGACCAGCACUUGUUGUUUUAAGGUCAAUUAAAUGCUUGUUUUAAGUCAGAGAGUUUGGGGUGUGUCUAUUAUGCAGCAAUAGCUGACUGACAUAGCUGUAAUUCUCUUAAUUGUCUCCCCUUCAUUAUUUAUGUGGCUGUUUCCAAAUUUUCUUUAUUAUAAAAUAAUGCUGUGAUGAAGUUUUUGGUGUAAGUCUUUAUGUGAUUAGCAGGAAGCUCAAUUAGAGUUACCUAGAUUUUCCUCUAACUCUACUCCUCCUGCCUCUGUCUUUCCUUCCACAGCUUACUUACUAUUUUAUCUUUAUUCUAAUGGUUCUAUUAUAUUUAUGGACUUUUGCAAGUUCCUUUGAAUACUCCUGCCCUAUCUAGACUACUUAGGCCUCUGGGACAAUCUUACUAGUUCUGACCAUCGGCCUUAGUGAGAAAACCAGAACUAUGACCACAACGUGUUAGACUGGGCCAGCGUGGCUGGCCCUUCACUCAUUUUGCAUUUUUUAUUGUUGUUCAAUUACAGUUGUCCCCACGUUCUUCUAUUACUCACCCUGCCCUGCCCACCCCACCUUCCACAUUCAACGCACACCCCACCCCCUUGUUUCUGUCCGUGGGUCCUUUAUCCGUGUUCCUUCGUUCACCCCUCCCCCCUCCCUUCUGGUCACCGUCAGUUUGUUGUUUAUUUCCCUGUCUCUGCUUCUGUUUGGCUUUCUUGUUUGUCUUGUUGACUAGUUUCACUUAUUUAAUGAUCACUGUUUUGUCUUUAUUAAAUAUAGGAACCUAGCUGAAUCAAGGAACUCUGUAAGGUAUCAAUACUAAGCUGAACACCAAAAAGCUUUCAAAUGUUUUUGAAACCUGCCUUUUUUUUCUUUAAAGGAGUGCCUAGUGAACCAUCUCAAAUCAGAACAAGUUCAGUUCGUCUCAACCCCACUGGGGCAGCAGCCCUGACAUUCGGACCCACCUUGCUGGAAGCCCCCUCACCGAGCGUGCGCACACCGUGGGAGGCGGUGCCUGGGAAAGGAAGCUGUCUGAAGAAGUAGCAGCCUGUGGCCGUGGAGGUCACCUUGUCCUUAACUCCACACAGGAGGCGCUCUGGAGCUGACGUGCCCUGUCUGGUUUGGGGAGCCUUCUUGCAACUCCGUUCAUCAGAAGAGUCUUUGUCCUCAAACACAGAAAGAGGUAAAUCGCACCACCGUGGACAGCAUGUUUCUGACCAGGCUCCAGAUGAAACCUCAGACCAGACUGGAGUCUUUCAAAGCCAGGCCAAGCCUAGGCUCGGCUCUGCUUGCAGAAGCGCCUAAUGACUUGCUGGUCAUCACCCAAGAAAGAGAAGCCUGCAGACACUUGAAACGGGACUUUGGAAAUCAAAAGGAAGUUUCUUCCCUCAGUUCGUUCCUUCACCAUCUGGCUAGCUUUUAUAAUCCUCAUUGCACUCUGAUGAAUUUUUUCAUGCCACAGCUUUCUGCUCAUUAACUGUAAUUACCAAGAACAGGAAAUUUCAGCAUGAUCAGAUCAUGUUUACCCAGAAUGCCAAAGCCGGAGAACUGUUCUUUAAGAGACAUUCUUGGGAUCGUCAACGUUUAGAAGCUGGGUGGAACCUCUGAAAUCAUUGGCUCAAAUCGUUCACUAGUAGAUGAAGAAAUCUGUAUGAACGAGCCCAGGUCUGGCAGCUAGUUAGUAACAGAGAAAGGGCAAAAACACCAGCUUCCACAUUCUCAGGACUGUGGUGUGUGCAACACACUCGGUUGUCUCUAGAACUGGUUCAAACCAGAAGCAGCCACUCCUCUCGGUUUGGGUGGUUCCAUCAACUCCAGGAUGGAAUCGGGUCAAAACGUCUCAUUGCAUCAUCACCUUGCUUUGAAACUCUGAGUUCUUUGGACAUAGAGUUCUUGUCUAUGUGCUGUGAACCAAUAAAUUCUCUGGAAAAAAAAAUCA